rnacentral:tRNA from 1 species
GCCCAGGUGGCGGAAUUGGUAGACGCGCUAGGUUGAGGGCCUAGUGUCCUUUUUGGACGUGCAGGUUCAAGUCCUGUUCUGGGUA